rnacentral:rRNA from 1 species
GUAGGUGGCAAGCGUUGUCCGGAAUUAUUGGGCGUAAAGCGCGCGCAGGCGGUCCUUUAAGUCUGAUGUGAAAGCCCACGGCUCAACCGUGGAGGGUCAUUGGAAACUGGGGGACUUGAGUACAGAAGAGGAAAGCGGAAUUCCACGUGUAGCGGUGAAAUGCGUAGAGAUGUGGAGGAACACCAGUGGCGAAGGCGGCUUUCUGGUCUGUAACUGACGCUGGGGCGCGAAAGCGUGGGGAGCAAACAGGGAUUAGAUACCCUGGUAGUCCACGCCGUAAACGAUGAGUGCUAAGUGUUAGGGGGGUUUCCGCCCCCUUAGUGCUGCAGCUAACGCAUUAAGCACUCCGCCUGGGGAGUACGGCCGCAAGGCUG